UUGUAUGGGCCUAUGCCUUUUCCCCUCCCUUGUGCUCUGACAGGGGAGGCUGACAGGACACACAGCAAUCUCCCUCUCAGUUUAGGAGAGCUGUCUUAAGAAUAGGCCUGGCUCUUAAAGGCAAUAAGGACAGU
rnacentral:snoRNA from 1 species